rnacentral:rRNA from 1 species
AGGAUGAACGCUGGCGGUCUGCUUAACACAUGCAAGUCGAACGGAGUAGCAAUACUUAGUGGCGGACGGGUGAGUAACGCGUGAGGAAUCUACCUUCAGGACGGAGACAACAGUUGGAAACGACUGCUAACCCCCGAUGUACCGAAAGGGCAAAUAUUUAUAGCCUGAAGAAGAGCUCGCGUCCGAUUAGCUAGUUGGAGAGGUAAAAGCUCACCAAGGCGACGAUCGGUAGCUGGUCUGAGAGGACGAUCAGCCACACUGGGAUUGAGAACGGCCCAGACUCCUACGGGGGGCAGCAGUGAGGAAUUUCCGCAAUGGAGGCAACUCUGACGGAGCAACGCCGCGUGCAGGAGGAAGGUUUUCGGAUCGUAAACUGCUUUUCGUCGGGGAAGAGAACGGACGGUACCCGAGGAAUCGAGCCCCGGCUAACUACGCGCCAGCAGCCGC